GUGUUUGGUGGGCUUUUAGUUUCCUGUAUUUCCCCUUCCCCUGGAGACACUUUGCAGACUGAAGGGGUCACCUGGGGGCUCUGCUCUCUAGGCUUUUCGGUUUUAAGGAAUGGGUGGGUGACCCAGCCUUGGCAAAGGUCAGUGAGAACUAGAGUCCUAGCUAACAUAUGAAUCAGGGCUGUAAAGGCCCCACAGCAAAGUAUUAAGAGCCCCAGGAUUGGGGUUAAGCCUAGGAGAGGUAGGCAGAGCAGAAACAGGCCUUGGAGGUUCUACUUGAAAGCAAGAGGUAAUAGGCCCUGGGUAGAGUUAUUUCCAGGCUGAAAGCUGGGGCGGUGGACUUCUUUGGUGGCAGGAUUUUAUACUGAGGCCAGGUUGUUGUUGGGUGUCAGCAUCUCCCAUGACCCAGAAUCCUCAGCUUCAGUAUGCCCAGCAGGUUCCCUUUGGGGGCCAAGGACAUUAGCUCUGAGACUACCUGGGAACUGAGAACAUGAUAGUUUGGGCAAAUCCAGUAGAACCCUGACUAUAGCUUUGAGAGUUCUUGUAUGGUGGGCCCAGGAGGGUUGAUCUGAGUCUGGGAGAUUCCUUAGGGUCCUGUAAUGUUCCAAUUGCUCUCUGUGUCCCGUCUUGAAGCCCUAAUUGUUGCCCUGCCUAACCGUGCCAGCUGACCCUUCCCAUCUGGAAAGGAUGCUGGCCCCAACUCCAGAUGAAUCUUGGGUACAUGAUGAAGAAGUAGGAGACAAGAGAGAUACACACUGUUGUGAGGCUAUCGGUAUAGAUGGCUGAGAAAAUUCAGACCCAGGCUCACCGCAGAAGCUGGGCUCCCACAUUUGUCAUAGCAGCACAUUCAAAGGCAAAGUGGCGGGAAAUAAGCUGAGACAUCACCAGGAGACAUUUGAAUCCAGAAGGGAGUCGUGUCAUCGUGAAGUAAUGGACUCCUGUAGGAAAGAAUAAACUUGGUCAUCCAUAGAGUAACGGCAAUCUUUCACAAAGCAUGCCAAUUAAAAACCACUACAUGCUAUAUAUGUGUGCUGGCUACUUUCAUGUGACUUGACCCAAGUUAGAGUCACUGGAGAGGAGGGAGGCUCCCUUGAGAAAAUGCCUCAGUAAGAUGGGGCUAUAGGAAAGCCUAGAGGGUAUCAUCUUCAUUAGUGAUUGAUGUGGGACGGUCCAGCCCAUUGUGGGUGGAUACACACCUGGGAAAGUUGUCCUGGUUUCUACAAGGAAGCAGGCCAAGCAAGCCAUGGGAAGAAGCCAGUGAGCAGCACUCCUCUAUGGCCUCUACAUCAGCUCCUGCCUCCAGGUUCUUGCCCUAGUUGAGUUCCUGUCCUGACUUCCUCCAAUGAUGAGUAGUGAUGUGGACGUGCAAGCCAAACAAACGCUUUCCUCCUCAACUUGCUUUUGGUCAUGGUGUUUCAUCAUAGCAAGAGCAACCCUAACCAAGACGAUAUGUAAAAGAUCACCGUGACUAAGAGCGUCAAUGUACUGUUUAUGAUCACAGUUAUGUGGCAAAACAAGGCAAGUGGUAAAUUUGGCAUAAGCCAGUUUCACAACUUGGUUUCAGGGACGGAGAGGAAAGCAGGGUAUGUAUAGGGUCUUAAGGUUAUUUAGCUUGUUCUCUUUUAAUUUUGUAGUGCUGGAAACAAAAUCUAGUGUUUUGAGCAUGCUAGGUAAGCACACUGUCACUGUAGCUGCAUCUUGAAACCUGCUUUUCACUUCUCAACUUGAAAUCAUGUCUCAUUAGGUUGUCUAGACUGGUCUGUAUUCCAGGCCGGCUUUGAACUUGAGAUCUUCUUGCUUACCCUCCCGAGAAAUGGCGAAUGCUUUCACUCUGAACAGCCUGGCUUCUCAUUGUUUAUCUUAUUUUAUCUUAGCACCCAGAAAAUGACAAUGCUCAAGGUGAUAGGUAGGUAAUGCUUUCAACCUAUAAUCCUUCACUUUUCACAUCUGUUAAAAUAGAACCCUAGAACCCCGAAACAACAAAAACAUUACACCCGCUAUGUCUGAAAUUUCAAACAAAAGUAACAGUGAAUCCACUAAAGCUGAUAUCCCAUAGCCUAAGUGACAGAAAUGUGUUUCCCCAUGGUACUGGAGGCUGGAUAUCCAAGGUCAAGGUGUCAGAAGGACCAUUUCCUUCCCAGGUUUCUGUCCUUGGUUUGCAGACAGCCACCUUCCUGCUGCAUCUUUACAUGGUCUUCUCUUGAUAAACAUCUGUGGCUGAGAAGGAGGGGGCAGGCAUGUCAUGUAAAAAGCCUAGUGAAUGGGGAUUUUCAUAGAGUUGAUGGAGAACCUACAAGCUCCCUUGGGACACACCUAUAGACCAGUGAUCGGGAGGUGGAAGCAGGAUGAUCAGAUGUUUAAGGCUAGCUUUGGCUACAUAAAAGGUUUAGGGCUAGCCUAAGCUACAGUCUUGCUGUGUAGCCCAGUAAUCAUCUUACCUCAGGCUCCCCUAUCUGGCUUCAUGGUACUUCCCUGAUGUAUUUCAGAGAAAUGGUGAAAUGUUAGUAAAUGCUGCUUACAUACUUGAACAUGUAUAACAUCUAGCUAAAGUGUGGUAGUGUUUUAACUUCAGGCACUGUUAAUAUCCGGUGAAAUUCUUACAUCUUCAGUGUCUAUUCUCUGAGUCUUCCCCAAUGCAUGUGCACUGUGGUUCUCACAUCCACCAAGAUACAGGACACUAACAACCUCCAGAAAGUUCCCUCAUGCCCCUUCCUAGUUUGUUUCUGCCACCACCUCUUCGAGAGUUGACCACUGUUUUGAGCUUGCUAACAAUAGAUUACUUCUGUCUGACCUACAGCUUCAUACAAGUGGAAUCAUGUAAUUCCCACUGACCAAGAAUGAUGCGCUGCUGAGAUUCAGCCACGUACUGUAGAUAACAGUAUCUGAUUCCUUUUUAUGGCUACAUAGUAUUAUACUGUGUGGCCAACCUGGAUUUAUCUGUUCUGUUUUUGGAACCCGUGGGCUGCUUCUAGUUUUGGACUUGUGGCUAAAUCCACUAUGAAUAUUCUUGUGUGAGCCUUUUGGAAGACAUAUGUUUUUGUUUCUCCCAGGUCCUGGGAUGUACGUUGAGUAUGUUUAACUUCCUAUCCAUCCUGGCCUCUUUCCUUAGGAGUCGUACCAGGUGACAUGGUUGUGACAAGUGGUUGACUUGGGUUAGGAGAGGCUUGUUCCCGUAACUUCUGCUGAGUCUUUGGGCCCACCGAGUCUCUGACUUGCAGAUAAGUAGACAAAGACAGCUCUGCUCAAGGCCACCCAUUAGCAAAAUGACAGAGCUGGGAUUCAUUCUGAUAAAAUUCUGAGAGUUGCUGGGAAUACCUGUCAGCAUUCUUAGCCCAAGGAUAGAUACACUGGUGUUCUUGAAGCCCAUUUGGACACUCUUGACACUGGGAAACCAGGGCCAGACUGGCAGUAGGUGCUUCUUGAGGCUAUUCCCCCUCAGGGGAGGUGCAUUCCAGCCUGGAACUGUACACCCCUAUCUAGAGGCCAAAGCUGGAUCCAUAUGUAUCCCAGAAGGAAGCUGUACAAGUCCCCUGGGCUAGAGUCUUCUUCCAGUGAUUUAGUUGGGAGUCCUAUGGGAAAGGGCCCGUUGUUAAUCCUAGGGAAACAGGAAGUCUCAGAGGGUUUUCUCUGUUAAAGGAGGUGAUUUUGCUUUAACCUAAGAGAUGAGUAUAGGCUGGGCAGAGGAGGGUAAGCAUUCAGGGAUUCCUUAGGAAGGUCCUUCAUCCAGGGGGAAGGUACAUGGAAAACAUUUCUAGGCGAUGAGAGAGCUAAACUGUAACCUAGAGAAUGAGCAGACAUUAGCCACUCAGAGAGGUCAGAUGCGAUGGAUGCUAUUUUAGGUAGAAAGAAAACUGGAAUAAAGAGAAUUGUGGGGAGCUGAAGGUAGCUCAUCCAGGCUGGAGAAGAAGGGAGCAGACAUCACGUUCAGCCUGGUGACUAUGGCCCUCUCAUAGAGAAGUGUGAGUGCCAGGUUUGGUGGGACAUGCUAUAAUCCAAACAGUUGGAAAGUGGAGAAAGAAGGGUCAAGAGUUUAAGGCUAGCCUUGGCUACAUAAAGGGUUUGGUAUCAGCCUGAGCUAGAUGAAAUCCCUAAACAAAAAACAGAACAAAUGAUUGUGAGACAGUUGAAGAAUGGGGUAGGGUCUUGUUUGUAUAUCUCUAUCCCUCUAGUGGUUAGGACAUGUUUGACUAAGUAAGAGCUAGGAUAAACCAUGAAUGAACAGAGCACCUGCUGGGAGCAGGAGGCCUGGGGAUGUUUGCAGGGUCAGGGAGGUUGAGAGGCAUGCUGGAAUGUCUAGGGGGGAUGUGCUAAGGGAUGUCUAUUUUCUCUUGGUUGGAAGAACAGGCUUCUUGGGAUAGUGCAGUGAUCUCUACCAGGUUUUCCAACACCUGGCAGUACUUUAGAAGACUUAGCUCCAUCUGAAAGGCACCUAGGGGCAUGGUGACAGAAUUCCAGCUCAGGAACACUACUUGCUAAAAUAUAUUUGUUUAUUCAGAGAUUUAAUUAACAUGUUUAAAUAUUAAAGAGUAAACAAAAUGUGUCUAGUGGGACUCAACAUUUACCAACAGGAGCUCUGGCUUAUUUAAUUAUUUGUGUUUUCCCUGCCCUAAGACUCAGGUUUCUGGCUUCGUUCUAGGCAGACAGUGGGGAGUGUAGGCUCCUCCUAGGACAGGACAGAGAAGUGAGCCUAGGAAGUAGGAAAGUAGGGAGGAGCGGAGGAUUGGGAAGGAAGGAAGCAGGGAGGAGGAGGGGGCGGAAGGAAAGCAAGAGGUUUUCUCAAGAAGUGGAGAUCUCCCAGCCAAGGAAGCCAAUAGCUGGUAUUUAUUUGGUACAAAGAAGAGAGUGUGGGUCUCUAUGCUUUCAUGGAUUGUUUGCUGAUAAAGUCCACCAGGGCAGUGGGAGCAGAGACAAAGAGCAGGGGCCAGUAUGUUCGGAAACCCUGGGAGUGUGUAGAGUGAAUAACCACAGCAGAACCAGCUAUCAGGAGGCAGAUCAACUUUACUUAGGGUGACUCAAGUCUUAUAAAGUUUUGGGGGACUGAGGGUGGGAACAUCCAGGGUGGAUAAAGGUCAUCAUUGGUUGAGGGUUUAGGGUACCCAAAAUGCCCAACUAGCAUGGGGAAACAUUUCAGGAAUGGUUGAAGAUGUUCUUAUCAGGAGAAAGAAAAUGGAUCCUGUAAUCUAACUGAGUCUAUGUGAUAUUCCUCAGGUAGAAGUGUGUGUGUGUGUGUGUGUGUGUGUGUGUGUGUGUGACUUAGAAUUUCCCAGACAAGGUCAGAGAAGGGGAAGCUCUGUUAAUGGAGUGUGCCAUAUUGCGCCAAGCCCAGAGGCAAUCCAGUCAUGGUGGACAUCGACCUUAAUUAGCAGAGUUUUCCCACAGAGAGAGUGAGAUUUGAGGUCUGGAGAGUACAUCCAAGGUGCAAAAUGAGAUGGCUGGAGACAGCUGAGCAUUCUUGGUUGCAGGAGGACUGGAGGGUCUUGAGAUAAUCUGGUGAGAUACCAACUUGAGUCUCUCUGUGCUGAUUUUAUGACAGCAGUGUCUCUCCAUGAUUCCUCAAGAGCCUGCAGACUGGACAGUGGCUGGCUGGACAGCAGCUGGAGAAUAAUUGGCAUUGCAUCACUAUGUUGCAGACACAGGGAGGGAAGGUUCCCCAGCCAGAUCUGCAGGUAGAACUCGGAGAUGGAGGAUCUGCAUUAUAACAUCACCACAAAUGAAGUCCUAGCUGCUGAGAGAUUACACCCGGGGUUAUUUAUUGGCAAUGUGCUCUAUGGUUUUAAUUUUUUCUUUUUGCUUAUUCAGGCUUUAGCUCCAGAGGAAAAUAGCCUGGGGUGGCUCCGAAAUAGAUUCUCUCUGCCCCAUUAACUUAUUCAGUGAGUUUAAUGGUCCUUUCUCCCCUCAGCCUUGAAGCCAUCAUUAAGAGGCAGAGAUUUAUAAAGCAAAGACUGAGCUUUAGUCAAACUUUGAUUGUGGGCUGGGGGAGAGCAAGGGGUCCAGGCAACUGGGCACCCUCUGUCCCGAUGAUAUGGGUGUGGACAUGAGCGUUAAUGACCUUAACUUUCCCUGGCUCUCCAAGGGCAGGGUUUGCCAUGGAUUGCUCUGAAGUGGCUCUGCAGGGCACGGAGUUGAGUGUCUUCUGUUCCAUUUUAUGGGACAUUCCUUAGCUCUUAUCAUAGCUCUAGGUCAUAGCAUCUGCCAAUGGUGUUUACAGAAAAUAGACUUCUCAGAAGUCAGCCUUCAGAGCAGUUAGUUCCUUUCAAAUGAAAUGACUUAAGGACAGCUGUCCAACUUACCAGUGAGAAAAUGGCUGGUCAGUCAACCAGCCAGCCAACCAACCAACCAACCAACCAACCAACCAGCAAAACCCAAACAAAAUCACAAUAGACUAAAAGCCUGAGUACUGGAUGGUUUGCUAAAUUCUCCAGAACUUUCCUUCAAGAGAUAUAAUUAUUGAAUGAAGGUCAAGUCAAACUACAUUACCUCAAGAUUGGUCAAUCCAGCUCAAUCCAGUUCACCACACUUGACUUCUUCCCUUUUUGUGCAUCUGUGGGGUAAAACGCAUUCUGCUGAGGAUACAGUCAGGUGAGUUAGGUCCAGGCUGAUGAGACAACAGCACCAGCAAAGAGAUUGCCCCAGAGCAGUACAACGUGGGGAUUAGGUGACAGCUUGGGAAACUGAGGAAAGAGACAAUGUGUAAUUUGGUGCAUAGGUAGGAUCUGGGUAGGGAGGGAGGUGAAGGAAGGCUGCUUUAGGUUGAAGGUGCACAGAAAUGAUGGGUGGGAUGGAAGAAGUGCAAGGUCCCUAUUUACGCAAGAGUAGGGAAUUUUGAGAAACUAAGAGAGCUGACAACAAGCCCUGAGACUCACUUGGGGAUGACCAAGAACAUCACUAGCCUCUGUACUUUGUUGGCUUAAUGAUAGGAGUCACUCAAGGGUUGGCAGAUAAAUCUUAAAGUUCAGGCAGUGUUUUUUGUUUAUUUGUUUGUUUGUUUUUUGGUUUUUUUCUCUUAUGUUUGUGAAUGAAAAAAAACAGUGAUGAAAAUAGGAAAAUAAAUUAUUCAUAUGUUUAGCAACUCUCUCUCUCUCUUCAAUAGAUUUCCAUUACUUUUCUUAGUAAAGUUGAUUCUAGAAUUAGUGCACAAGGCAAAAGGUGGCCUUUGAAGAGACUUUAAUUCCUGGUUGAACACAGUGAGAUAUGCCCACUCUGAGAGACACACAGCAGCUGAGGUGAGCUGAGGCACAGUUACACCACAGUGAACAAACUGGAUGUGGUAGCAGUUAAAGCAGCUACUGGUUCGUUCUCUGUCUUCCUGGGUGAACAGAAUUGAAUUUGCAUACACUCGGUAUGUCGACCAGACAAGACUAUUGCAUGGCGACUUUGUGUAUGUGUUUCCAUGCAUCCAAGCAGUAGUUUUAGUUUGCAUUCUAAGGAUAGCCUACAGUACAACACGGACUGAAGAAGAGGAGGUGUGGAUACAAGUGGAAGAAACUAGGAGGCCAUUGCAAACCCCAAUGUGAUGUGGUGGUGGUCAAGUAAAGAGAGUUAAAACAACAACAACAACAACAACAACAACAACAACAACAACAACAACCACUCAAACCAAACCAACCAAUCAACCAAACAACAAAACAAUAACAACAAAAAAACCCUUAACCAACAAACCAACCAACCAACCAGCCAGCCAAACACCAAUGAAUGAAAAAAAAACCCAAAACAACAACAACAACAAAAACCUCAAUCAACCAACCAACUGAAAAAUGCUGAUUGUGCGUUGAGGGCAGGAGAUAGCAGGGUUAGUGCGAUCUGUAGUCCAUGAUGGAAAAGAAGAGCCAGCAGGCCGAGGCCCUGUGCCUUCUGUUUGGGACAUAUUGAGUUGAUGGUGUUUGCGGGAGAGGAUUGAGAAGAAGGCUAGGUGUGGCUUGAGUAAUUGUUUCUGAUUGGAGGCUUUCUUAGUGAAGUGGGUCACCAUGGGAAAUCAGCCGGAACAGCUUGUUUGAGAAGAGGCUAAAGACUUGUUCUCCUUCCGGAGCUCCUUCUGCUGUGUCCACUGGCAGCCUUCUCCAUGGCUGUCCAUGGCUUCUCUUGUGGGAGCUGCAUCAAGCUACAAGCACAUUUCACCUGUGUAUUUGUAAGUGGCUUCUGCUUUGGUGUGCCUUCCCUUUCCACUCUUCUGCCUCUCGAAGGCUUAUCUCAGUAUAGUUACAUUGUGAAAUAAUAUGAAGAUCCAAACAAGGUGUUGGUGUGGAGUGAAGAGAAGACGGAGUGACUCAUUUGGGGAUUCACAACCAUCCAUAGCUCCAGCUCCAGGGGUCUGAUACCCCACCUCCAUACAGGCUUUGAAAGCACCUGCACUAAUGUGUACAUCCCCAUACACAGACAUACACACAUAUGUAUAAUCAAAAAUAAUGAAAAUAGACCUUAGCGAAGGAGACUAGGUGUCACAUAGUUAUUAACAGUGACCAGGAAAAUGAAAAGGAUAGUUACUUACCUAUACUCACAUGGUUUUCAACAUGUAGCUGUUUGCUACUUCGUGAGGAAGGCUGGCAAAACUUGAUUGGUCCAUUGUACAAAGAAGACAAGAUCUGGCUGCCUAUUAGUGAGUUAAACAGGGUUAUAUCCAUAUUAGUCAGUCUUCCAUGGUCAUGUUCUCUGAACCCAAAAUGACACAUACAUUGGAGAGGUGAGAUACUUUGGAAGGAUUAGUGUUCCAUCUAUAGACUUUGAAUUAUUCUGGAAAAUAUAGUAUCAGUAUAGUAUCAUCUGUAGGAAUCCUCCUUGGUGUAGAAGUACUUGCAGUGAGAUGAUGA